GUAGGUGAACCUGCGGAGGGAUCAUUAACACGUUAUCCACGUAUAAACACCGCGAAUCAUGUCACUGCAGUGCUCGGGGAGAUAAAACUUGGGCGCGCGUCGGAUCAACGCCCAAGGAAGUUCCGGCCCGGUGCCGGAAGAAAACCUAUACACUGUCGCCGAUCUAAUAUUACCAAAUCUUUUAACUCAUGUAACUUUUGUCCUAAUACUUUCUACGUUAACGCGUGGAAAACAAAACAACUAAAGCACA
rnacentral:misc_RNA from 1 species